AGAGUUUGGAUCCUGGCUCAGGAUGAACGCUAGCGGCAGGCUUAAUACAUGCAAGUCGAGGGGCAGCAGGGGUAGCAAUACCCGCUGGCGACCGGCAAACGGGUGCGGAACACGUACGCAACCUUCCUUUAACUGGAGAAUAGCCCCUCGAAAGAGGGAUUAAUACUCCGUAACAUAUUGAUAAGGCAUCUUAUUAAUAUUAUAGUCUUCGGGCGGUUAAAGAUGGGCGUGCGCCUGAUUAGAUAGUUGGUGAGGUAACGGCUCACCAAGUCUGCGAUCAGUAACUGGUGUGAGAGCACGACCAGUCACACGGGCACUGAGACACGGGCCCGACUCCUACGGGAGGCAGCAGUAAGGAAUAUUGGUCAAUGGACGCAAGUCUGAACCAGCCAUGCCGCGUGGAGGAUUAAGGCCCUCUGGGUUGUAAACUCCUUUUAUCUGGGAAGAAAUGCCAUUUUUCUAAAUGGUUUGACGGUACCAGAGGAAUAAGCACCGGCUAACUCCGUGCCAGCAGCCGCGGUAAUACGGAGGGUGCAAGCGUUAUCCGGAUUCACUGGGUUUAAAGGGUGCGUAGGCGGGCAGGUAAGUCCGUGGUGAAAUCUCUGAGCUUAACUCAGAAACUGCCAUGGAUACUAUUUGUCUUGAAUACUGUGGGAGGUAAGCGGAAUAUGUCAUGUAAGCGGGGGAAAUGCUUAGAUAUGACAAUGGGGACACCAAUUGCGGAAGGCAGCUUACUACACAGUAU
rnacentral:rRNA from 1 species